CAGUAGCCGCGGGAACACGAAGGGUGCAAGCGUUAAUCGGAAUUACUGGGCGUAAAGCGUGCGCAGGCGGUUAUGUAAGACAGUUGUGAAAUCCCCGGGCUCAACCUGGGAACUGCAUCUGUGACUGCAUAGCUAGAGUACGGUAGAGGGGGAUGGAAUUCCGCGUGUAGCAGUGAAAUGCGUAGAGAUCGGGAGGAACAUCAGUGGCGAAGGCGGCCAUCUGGGACAACACUGACGCUGAGGCACGAAAGCGUGGGGAGCAAACAGGAUUAGAUACCCCAGUAGUCCCUGUCUCUUAUAC
rnacentral:rRNA from 1 species